rnacentral:rRNA from 1 species
GAUUAGUACCCUGGUAGUCCACGCCGUAAACGAUGAGCACUAGGUGUCGGGGCCGCAAGGUUUCGGGCCCGCAGUUAACGCAUUAAGUGCUCCGCCUGGGGAGUACGCACGCAAGUGUGAAACUCAAGGAAUUGACGGGGACCCGCACAAGCAGCGGAGCAUGUGGUUUAAUUCGAAGCAACGCGAGAACCUUACCAGGGCUUGACAUCCUUCUGACCGGAACUUAACCGUUCCUUUCUUCGGACAAAGUGACAGGUGGUGCAUGGUUGUCGUCAGCUCGUGUCGUGAGAUGUUGGGUUAAGUCCCCAACGAGCGCAACCCUUGUCGUUAGUUACUAACAUUCAGUUGAGGACUCUAAUGAGACUGCGUGGAUAACACGGAGGAAGGUGGGGAUGACGUCAAAUCAUCAUGCCCCUUAUGUCCUGGCUACACACGUGCUACAAUGGUCGGUACAAAGAGACGCGAGACAGCGAUGUGGAGCAAAUCCAAAAGCCGAUCCCAGUUCGGAUUGCAGGCUGCAACUCGCCUGCAUGAAGUCGGAGUUGCAGUAAUCGUGGAUCAGAAUGCCACGGUGAAUGCGUUCCCGGGUCUUGCACACACCGCCCG